rnacentral:rRNA from 1 species
UACGAAGGGGGCUAGCGUUGCUCGGAAUGACUGGGCGUAAAGGGCGCGUAGGCGGCUCAUACAGUCAGAUGUGAAAUUCCUGGGCUUAACCUGGGGGCUGCAUUUGAUACGUGUGGGCUUGAGUGGGGAAGAGGGUCGUGGAAUUCCACGUGUAGCAGUGAAAUGCGUAGAUAUGUGGAGGAACACCGAUGGCGAAGGCAGCCCCCUGGGUUAACACUGACGCUCAUGCACGAAAGCGUGGGGAGCAAACAGG